CACGUUUAUCUCUGUCUCUGUCUCCGCUUACUUGUAGGCUCUCUGCCAGGGCUGGGGGGGUAGGGGGUGGCGUCCAGAGGCGAAUCAUGAGCCCUGCCCACAGCGAGCAUGCAGUCUAGGGGUCAAGACAGAAUUGUCCACAACCAGCGGUAACACAGGCUAAUGCAGCCAGGUGGAAGCAGGGGCUCCGGUGAGAAGGUCACAGUGACCACGGAAAUGAUCAGAAUUACCUUUUAUUGAUGCCUGCUAUCAUCCUCACAACAAGAUGUGGAAGUGCACCCAUGGGAUUUCGAAGAACCCUUCACAGACUUGCCUCCAAGACCCACUCGACAGCCCUGUGAGAAUCUCCAGAUGAGGUCUCUGUCUUGCUGCCUCACUGAAGGUCACAGCUCAGAAACGACCUGAGGCUGACUCUUCAAGACAUGCUACACAGAGGGUGCCCUGCCUGAAAAUGCUGCCCCACUGUGGGUAUGAGAACACUGACACUAUAGUGCAGUCAUUGAAAUAGAUCAAUGAAGAUCCCCCAAAACCCCACUACUCACAAAUCCUAACAAUGGUGGGGUGGAGGGAGCAAUAC